UGAGACUCUGUGCGCGUGCAUAUCAAUAAGCGGAGGAAAAGAAACUAACAAGGAUUCCCUUAGUAACGGCGAGUGAAGCGGGAAGAGCUCAAAUUUGAAAUCUUCAAGGUUCUACCUUGACGAAUUGUAGUUUAUAGAAGUGUUUUCUGUUAGUAGGAGUGGCAAAAGUUCUUUGGAAUAGGACAUCAUAGAGGGUGAGAAUCCCGUAUUUGGUCAUUCCUUCCUAGCGUUGUGAUACACUUUCAACGAGUCGGAUUGUUUGGGAAUGCAGUCCAAAAUGGGUGGUAAAUUUCAUCUAAAGCUAAAUAUUGGCGAGAGACCGAUAGCGAACAAGUACCGUGAGGGAAAGAUGAAAAGAACUUUGAAAAGAGAGUUAAACAGUACGUGAAAUUGUCAAAAGGGAAGCGUUUGACACCAGUGUUGUUUUUCCGAAAAUCAAUUACGAAUGUUUUGUUUUUGAGGAGUUAUGACUUCAUCGGCUUGCUUCCUCUCUUUAUGAAACUUUCUUAAUGCACUUUUCGGUUAACAAGUCAACAUCAAUUUCUUUUGUUGUAAAAGGGUAUGAGGAAGGUGGCUUUCUUUUCGGAGAAAGUGUUUAUAGCCUUGUACCUUCUGCAAUCGGAGAGAUUGAGGUCUGCAGCGUAGAUCCUUCGGGGUUAGAUACGUUUGUGCUAAGUUAUAGCUUUUCAUAGACAACUUGUUGACUAUGUUUAGUCUUGUAGCUUACUCGCUGAUGCUAUUUUACCUACGCUUAGGAUGUUGACAGCAGUAUAGACUGU
rnacentral:rRNA from 1 species